AUUAUAUUGUCAUUAUUUGUCAGAAUCAACUUCCACUCAGGACGACACGACAACAACAACUACCACUACACUUUCUCCAACUGCCGCUGACUCUGAAUCAACUUCCACUCAGGACGACACGACAACAACAACUACCACUACACUUUCUCCAACUGCCGCUGACUCUGAAUCAACUUUCAUCCAGGACGACACGACAACAACUACUACAACACUCUCUAACACUGCCACUGACACUG